UGAGGAAUUUUCUGCAAUGGGCGCAAGCCUGACAGAGCAAUACCGCGUGAGGGAUGACUGCCUACGGGUUGUAAACCUCUUUUCUCAAGGAGGAAGAUCUGACGUUACUUGAGGAAUAAGCAUCGGCUAACCCUGUGCCAGCAGCCGCGGUAAUACAGGGGAUGCAAGUGUUAUCCGGAAUUAUUGGGCGUAAAGCGUCUGCAGGUUGAUAUGUAAGUCUUUUGUUAAAACUUUGAGCUUAACUCAAAUUCCGCAAAAGAAACUAUUUAUCUUGAGUAUGGUAGAGGUAAAGGGAAUUUCCAGUGGAGCGGUGAAAUGCGUAGAUAUUGGAAAGAACACCAACAGCGAAG
rnacentral:rRNA from 1 species